AUUGUCCUGCCACUAAGCUUCAGUCUAGAGUUGACCGUACCGCAAACCGACACAGGUGGGCAGGAUGAAAAUUUUAAGGCGCUUGAGAGAACUCAGGAGAAGGAACUCGGCAAAUUAACACCGUAACUUCGGGAGAAGGUGUGCCCCGGUAGCGUGUAGAGACUUGCUCUCGAAGCGCGAUGGGGUUGCAGUGAAAUGGUGGCUGCGACUGUUUAAUAAAAACACAGCACUCUGCAAACACGAAAGUGGACGUAUAGGGUGUGACGCCUGCCCGGUGCCGGAAGGUUAAGUGAUGGGGUGCAAGCUCUUGAUCGAAGCCCCGGUAAACGGCGGCCGUAACAAUAACGGUCCUAAGGUAGCGAAAUUCCUUGUCGGGUAAGUUCCGACCUGCACGAAUGGCGUAACGAUGGCCACACUGUCUCCUCCUGGGACUCAGCGAAGUUGAAAUGUUUGUGAAGAUGCAAUCUACCCGCGGCUAGACGGAAAGACCCCAUGAACCUUUACUGUAGCUUUGCAUUGGACUUUGAACCGGUUUGUGUAGGAUAGGUGGGAGACUGUGAAGCCGGGACGCUAGUUUCGGUGGAGUCAACCUUGAAAUACCACCCUGAUUUGUUUGAGGUUCUAACCUUGGUCCGUGAAUCCGGAUCGGGGACCGUGCAUGGUAGGCAGUUUGACUGGGGCGGUCUCCUCCCAAAAGGUAACGGAGGAGUACGAAGGUACGCUUAGGGCGGUCGGACAUCGCCCACAAAGUGCAAUGGCAAAAGCGUGCUUGACUGCGAGACCCACAAGUCGAGCAGGUACGAAAGUAGGUCAUAGUGAUCCGGUGGUUCUGUACGGAAGGGCCAUCGCUCAACGGAUAAAAGGUACUCUGGGGAUAACAGGCUAAUUCCUCCCAAGAGUUCAUAUCGACGGGGGAGUUUGGCACCUCGAUGUCGGCUCAUCACAUCCUGGGGCUGUAGUCGGUCCCAAGGGUAUGGCUGUUCGCCAUUUAAAGUGGUACGCGAGCUGGGUUUAAAACGUCGUGAGACAGUUUGGUCCCUAUCUGCCGUGGGCGCUGGAAAUUUGAAGGGGGCUGCUCCUAGUACGAGAGGACCGGAGUGGACGAACCUCUGGUGUACCGGUUAUGACGCCAGUCGUAUCGCCGGGUAGCUAAGUUCGGAAGAGAUAAACGCUGAAAGCAUCUAAGCGUGAAACUCGCCUUAAGAUAAGAUUUCCCGGAGUCUUGAACUCCCUGAAGGGUCGUCGAAGACCACGACGUUGAUAGGUCAGGUGUGGAAGCGCAGCAAUGCGUUAAGCUAACUGAUACUAAUUGCC
rnacentral:rRNA from 1 species